UACAGAGGUCUCAAGCGUUUGUUCGGAUUCAUUGGGCGUAAAGGGUGCGUAGGCGGCGCGGUAAGUCGGGUGUGAAAUCUUGGAGCUUAACUCCGAAACUGCAUUCGAUACUGCCGUGCUUGAGGACUGGAGAGGAGACUGGAAUUUACGGUGUAGCGGUGAAAUGCGUUGAUAUCAUCAGGAACACCGGUGGCGAAAGCGGCUUACUGGGUCUCUUCUGACGCUGAGGUACGAAAGCUAGGGGAGCGAACGGG
rnacentral:rRNA from 1 species